rnacentral:sRNA from 1 species
AAUACUACUAUUUGAGCCGAAUCUACCAACUAAACUAAACCUGGUUUUAAAAUUAUCCGGUUUAUUUGAGAGUUUCAACAACAAGCGCGCUUAGACCAUCAUUAUUCAUAGUUUAUAAGGUUAGUUCUUAGAUAAAGUAGGUCUUAAAUUUAAUGUUAUAAUUCAAUUAAUUG